rnacentral:rRNA from 1 species
UACGUAGGGGGCAAGCGUUGUCCGGAAUCAUUGGGCGUAAAGCGCGCGUAGGCGGCCCGGUAAGUCCGCUCUGAAAGUCCAGGGCUCAACCCUGGAAAGCGGGUGGAUACUGCCGGGCUAGAAUCCGGAAGAGGCGAGUGGAAUUCCUGGUGUAGCGGUGAAAUGCGCAGAUAUCAGGAGGAACACCGGUGGCGAAGGCGGGUCUCUGGGCCGAUAUUGACGCUGAGGAGCGAAAGCGUGGGGAGCGAACAGG